rnacentral:tRNA from 2 species
CACUAGGAAGCUAAACCGGGACUAGCGUUAGCCUUUUAAGCUAAAGACUGGUGACUCCCAACCACCCCUAAUGA